GAAGGGUAUAAGUGCAGUUAGCCCAUAAUUGAAGGCAUCAAGGAUUGAGGCGACCAAAGCCAAAAAUAUUGUCCUUCCCUGCAAAAUGUCUAGACUAAAAAAAGAAGCCACGUUUCGAGCUAUAAGGGGCUCUGGCUCUACAAAGCCGCGGGUCCCACUACGUAGCCCCCAGUAUAAUCCCCGAAAAAUACGAAAGCGGGCCCCGCCCAUCCCCCCUCACGCGGGACCCACGUGCGACCAGCACGUGUCAGUGGAAAUUUUCUUUUGUGCAAUUUUGUAUUUUUAAUAAUCCGCUGCCGGAGAACGACAAAAUUCAAAGCACCUCCCCGGAAAAAAAAAACAAAAACAAAACAACACAAAUAAAUAAAUAAAAUAGAAGCUGGGGGGUGUGGAAAAAUAAAGGUCGUGGGCCCCACCCCCGGGGUUCUGACAAAAAACAUGCCGUCACGCGUUUGGCGCAACGCGACAAACAACGUGUCGAGGUGCUGUAGUUUCCGCC
rnacentral:lncRNA from 1 species